GAGGACAGGUCCACCUGAGGACCUGAAGACAGGUCCACCUGAGGACAGGUCCUCCUGAGGACAGGUCCACCUGAGGACAGGACCACCUGAGGACAGGUCCUCCUGAGGACCUGAAGACAGGUCCUCCUGAGGACCUGAAGACAGGACCACCUGAGGACAGGUCCUCCUGAGGACCUGAAGACAGGACCACCUGAGGACAGGUCCUCCUGAGGACCUGAAGACAGGACCACCUGAGGACAGGUCCACCUGAGGACAGGUCCACCUGAGGACAGGUCCACCUGAGGACAGGUCC